rnacentral:rRNA from 1 species
CCUACGGGGGGCAGCAGUGAGGAAUAUUGGUCAAUGGGCGAGAGCCUGAACCAGCCAAGUCGCGUGAAGGAUGACGGCCCUACGGGUUGUAAACUUCUUUUGUCAGGGAGCAAUUGGGUCCACGCGUGGGCUUAGCGAGAGUACCUGAAGAAAAAGCAUCGGCUAACUCCGUGCCAGCAGCCGCGGUAAUACGGAGGAUGCGAGCGUUAUCCGGAUUUAUUGGGUUUAAAGGGUGCGUAGGCGGUCGGAUAAGUUAGAGGUGAAAUCCCGAGGCUCAACUUCGGAAUUGCCUCUGAUACUGUUCGGCUAGAGAGUAGUUGCGGUAGGCGGAAUGUAUGGUGUAGCGGUGAAAUGCAUAGAUAUCACGCAGAACUCCGAUUGCGAAGGCAGCAUACCGGCGCCCGACUGACGCUGAGGCACGAAAGCGUGGGGAUCGAACAGGAUUAGAUACCCCUGUAGUC